rnacentral:rRNA from 2 species
GGUGCUAUACAUGCAGUCGAGCGAAUGGAUUGAGAGCUUGCUCUCAAGAAGUUAGCGGCGGACGGGUGAGUAACACGUGGGUAACCUGCCCAUAAGACUGGGAUAACUCCGGGAAACCGGGGCUAAUACCGGAUAACAUUUUGAACUGCAUGGUUCGAAAUUGAAAGGCGGCUUCGGCUGUCACUUAUGGAUGGACCCGCGUCGCAUUAGCUAGUUGGUGAGGUAACGGCUCACCAAGGCAACGAUGCGUAGCCGACCUGAGAGGGUGAUCGGCCACACUGGGACUGAGACACGGCCCAGACUCCUACGGGAGGCAGCAGUAGGGAAUCUUCCGCAAUGGACGAAAGUCUGACGGAGCAACGCCGCGUGAGUGAUGAAGGCUUUCGGGUCGUAAAACUCUGUUGUUAGGGAAGAACAAGUGCUAGUUGAAUAAGCUGGCACCUUGACGGUACCUAACCAGAAAGCCCCGGCUAACUACGUGCCAGCAGCCGCGGUAAUACGUAGGUGGCA